UUAAUUGAAGAGUUUGAUCAUGGCUCAGAUUGAACGCUGGCGGCAGGCCUAACACAUGCAAGUCGAGCGGCAGCGACAUAAACAAUCCUUCGGGUGCGUUUAUGGGCGGCGAGCGGCGGACGGGUGAGUAAUGCCUGGGAAUAUGCCCUGAUGUGGGGGAUAACCAUUGGAAACGAUGGCUAAUACCGCAUAAUCUCUUCGGAGCAAAGAGGGGGACCUUCGGGCC
rnacentral:rRNA from 1 species